CUCGAUCCAAGUCUCUUCUUGACUAAACUACAUAGUAUCCUCCCUGAAGCCAGUAAAAAGAUCUGACGAUUCCCACCGAUUGGCUGACUUCUAAAAUGUGAGUUCUGAGUUCUACAACGAGUGUCUACAGUGGCAACACAGCGCCGACCUUCAGUGAUAGACUCGUCUCAAGGUCAUCUGUCCAAAGCUCGCUGCUGCCUCCGCAUCCACCUAAGUCCCCACCAGUGGCCACAACACUCAUGAGCCGAGGACGAGCAAUGGGAGAGGUCUUGCUUGCCCGAGGAGCAAGUACGAAGGGAAUGUGUGUAAAAGCACCUCUGAACACGAGAACACCGGGCAAGCUGCUGGCCCUCGACCGCUUUGGAAGCCUCCAAUUGCGUCGUCCUCCGCGUUCUCCACCCAGAAAAUACGAGAUUCGGCGCACUCUCCGAAUGGAGGGAUGGCCCAUGCCGGAACACGCUCAAUUGUAUUUGAACGUGAGAUUGGUCUUUGUUUUUAUUAAGGUUACUUCCAGUUUGGUAUGAACAGUUUGGUUUGAAUGCAUCUCAAUAUGGACAACCAACCAAUGCAUUAUCAUAUGGUACAUAUACACACUCAAAAGGU